UUCAGCUAGCAAGUAGCCUUAAAAAUCAUCUGGUCCAUACUCUUGCUUUUACAGAUGAGGAAACAGACCUCCAAGGGUUAAGUGACCAGGUGACCUUGGGAUCAUAUACAUAUAAUAACUACUUCACAAUCAAGCCCCAAUUUAACUGCAGCUAACUAGUCAUAUGACCUAGGAGAUCCAUCCAGCCUUAUGAUACUAUGAUGAGGACUUGAAAUCCACCGGAGGAGAAUCAAGUACAUUUAAGGAAUGCUAAAGAGGCAGCCUGCUUCCCAUUGGACUUCCACCAGUCUAAUUUUUCCAAACAUUCCUUGCAGAAUGGAAAGUUGGAUUCUGGAACCUGGGAUCGAAAUACUCUCUACUCCGGAUAUGUA